AAUGAGGAUGAGGAAGUAGGAAAGAGGGCAGGCAGCCGGUACUCUGAAGAGAGCAGUGUGUACUACACCCUUUCCUUAUCCAGGAGAAUGGCAACUUCUCCUACGAGGAGAGGUCUAAGAGCAAGUUUCAAUGACGUGAAGUUCUGCCGUUUGACCAGCAGAUCAGCAGAAGACAAAGCGCUCAGGAGAGCGGCAGUGAGGCCAGUGGGCUCCCUGUGGGGGAAAGAAUGGAUAGUCUGCAGAUGGAACUCACCUUUGAGAUAAAUAAAGAAGAAAAGACACUCAGUCAAGAUACCAACCCAGGAAUAACUGAGGGAGAAUUUUCAUCUAAAAGAAAUUCACCUUGUAAACUCUUAAGAGACUCCUCUAUCCAGGGAGCCAUCUGUCCUUGGCUUUUCCUCAGUAGAUGGCUCCGAUGACAGAGAAAGCAGAAAGCAAUACAGAAAGAAAUGGACAUGUUGGACUGUGCUUCUUGUCAUCAACUGAGGGAAAAGAGUUAACAUUACAGAUGGACAAAAAGUGAAGCCACCAAUUCAGAUAUGAUUUGGGGGGACCCUUAGAUUUCAUUAUUUCUGUCCCUAUUCAUACAACAUCCAACAAAUAUAUAUUGCAUAUCUACUGUGUGUAAAGAUCUGCUCUAAAUAGAAGGAUUACAACAUAGUGGUUAAAGAGUGUAGGCUUUAGAUAAGUGUUUUAAAAAUUGUGCAUCACAAUUGAUUUGUAUAAUCAAUUUAGUAUGUUAUCAUAAAAAAGAAAUGAUAUAGAACAGAAUAUAUUCAAUUUAGCACAUAUUUGUAUAUAUUAGGGUGG
rnacentral:lncRNA from 1 species